AGAGAUAGGUAGUAUCCUACCCACUUCGUUUACUUUAUUUAGAAAUAAAUUUAGGGCGCGUUUGGUUCGCACUAUGAAAGAUUAAUAAGAGUAAAAAGAUAUCCGAGAAUCUUAUUUCUAUUCAUCCUAUUACUAAGAAUGUAACAUUUCAGUAUUUGAUUCGUUCNAUAUCCGAAAAUCUUAUUUCUAUUCAUCCUAUUACUAAGAAUGUAACAUUUCAGUAUUUGAUUCGUUCGAUCAUAUUAUUUAGUCAUAUUAUUUAAAAUUAUAUAAAAUAUACAAUUAAUUUAUUUAUUUUUUAAAUUAAUUUUAAAUAAUAUUAUAAAAAAUUUCAACAUCUUUUUAGAAAAAAAGGAGAGAGAACAUAUAUUAGAGAGAGAAAGAGAGCAUAAUUAAAGAAAUAGAAAGAUAAAUAGAGUCGAUGUUAGAGAGAAUGAGAGAGUUGAAAUUUUAGAAAAAAAUGGAGAGAAAUAGUUUAGUUUAUAUAGAGAGAGAAAAAGAGUUGACGUUUAGAGAGAAAAAAGUAAAUUUUACACAGAGAUAUGAGGUUAGAGUAUAUAGGAAAAUAAUACCAACUAGUCGGCAGGUACCGACCGUCCCUAGAGCAAGUGGCAAAAAGCUUGGUGAUUGGUACUCAAGACUCAAGUUCGAGCCCUAGUUGAUUCACAUUUCCAGCUGAGUUUAUUUCUAAAUGAAAUAAACGAAGCGGGUAGCGUGCUACCUAUCUCUCAAAAAAAAAAAAAAAACUAGUCGGCGGGUGAAAAAAAAGAAAAAGAUUAGACAUAUUAUGAUUACCCAAAUUCAUUAAUUUGAGAAUACCCACCCUCCCUCAAAGGAAUGAUAUUAGUACUUUGGAAUAAAUCUCAUUUCUAAAUUAUUUAGUGUGUUUAGUCAAACACCGUUAUAUUUGUUUAUUCCUAUUGGAUUACUAGAAAUCUUAAAACGAUAGCGCGAACCAAACGCACCCUAGCUGAAAAUAUGAAUCAAGUAGGAUUAUCUUGGGUACCAAUCACCAAACUCUUUGCCACUUGUGCUAGGGACGGUCGGUAAGGAGAGGAAUAGAUUCAAUAGAAGGAAAAGGAUGAAG
rnacentral:lncRNA from 1 species